UAAGCUCAGGAAAGAACUCUCCAACA
rnacentral:piRNA from 1 species